CGGGAUUUUCUUUAUUGGUAAAUUUUUUGUUAUAUUUUCAAUUUCACUGAUUGUAAUUGGGGUGUUUAGAAUUUCUAUAACUUCUUCAUUUAACUUUUGCAAUUCAUAUGUAUCUAGGAAUCUGUCCAUGUCUUCUGUGUUUUCCAUUUUAUUAGAGUACAGGUUCUCGAAGUAGGUAUUGAUGAUCCUCUGGAUUUCUACUGGGUCCAUUGUGACUUCACCUUUUUCAUUCUUAAUUGCACGGAUUUCAGCCUUUUCUUUCCUUUUUUUGACAUGGUUUGCUAAAGGUUUAUUGAUUUUAUUUAUUCUUUCAAAAAAACCCUCUGAUUCAUUGAUUUUUUUGUAUCAUUCUUUUAGUCUGCAUUGCAUUGAUUUCUGCUUGGAUCUUUAUAAUUUCCUUUCUUGUAGGAGCUUUGCAUUUGCUAUGCUCUUUUUCUUCUAGGAGCUUGAGGACUGGCAGGGAAAGUGAUCAGAAAAGGAUCAGGCGCUUUUGUUUUGGAAAUACCCAGGAAAAUACAGUAACGUUGAAUCCUGCUGGGCAGACUUGGGAAAGAAGAGUUGCAGCCCUGGGUUGAAGAAGCUCCCAGAGAGCUCCACACAGGUGGAGGGAGAGACACAGAGGCAAACUGUCCCAGAAAAGGAGCAGGAACACCCCAGGCAUCUUAGAGAGGCUUUCACCCCUGCAGCAGGCUGACCAGUGAGAACUGUGAUCCCCAGGAUACCCUCUCCUGCUCUGCAAAUCUGGCUCCUGCUCUGUCCCUGGAGGCUGGUUCCCCUCAAGUGAGCCCUUCCCCACAGAUGAGUCUUGGAACAAUCACAGAGAGGGCCAGAGGCUGCCCAUUCAUCCUGAAAACCCCAAACAUGCCACAGGAGAAGGACUCAUUCAGGAGUAGGGGAAAAAAGGGAGUAUCUGGAUUUAAUAUACCAAGAGAAGAAGGAGGAAGCUCAGGAAGACCUGAGGAGUAGAUACAGAUGUUGAAAGGAACCAGAACACUGAAGUCAGGAAAGCAGAUGGAGAAAGGGGAUUGAAGUAGCUGGUGCUUCAGAGAACACCCACAGUAUGUCUCCACAGUAACUUCCCUGGAGUGAUUGAUUUCUCCCCUAUCUUGGAAUCAAUGUUCCAGACUGAAUUAUGCUAAAAUAUGGGAUUUACCUUCAAGCAAAGUGAGUCACUGGUCCGGACAAGAACCAACUCUGCACUGCUUUUCAGACCCCAUUCUUCUCGACUGCAGGGACAAGUGGUUUCUAUUAUACUUCUGGCCUUUCAUACUCCCGAUGGUGCGGCUGAUGAAAUCCAGCAGCCAGGUGCAUGGAUGUGGUUGAAAAGACCCUCGCAGGACCUGAGCUGCCUCCCCACAGAGUGGGCUGUCUCCCUCCUGAGGUGGCCACUGCCAGUGGGACUGAUACCUGACUUAUUUCCCUGACUGAGAGGAUGGGUCAUAUGACCAAUUCAUACAUUUUUGUCCUGGUCUCUUUUUAACUAAUCACACAGUUUUCUGAUCUCUGGCCAAGGGCCAUGACCAAGGACAGAGUUUCCCUGUGUAGAUUUUUCUGCCACAGACAUUUGAAUUGGACUGUCGGAGUAGACUAAGUAUGGUAGCCAUUUUUCCCAUUAAGAUGGAAUUACCAAAACAUAAGCUUCAGGAAACACGUGGGAUGCUCUCAAGUCUGGUAACAUAUUCCCUGUCCUGUACCAGACAAGAAGCCCUGCAUCCCAUUUGCUCCUAACAGCCCCUUUCUUGGUUAUUCUGUUGAAUUUCCAGUUAGCCAGGUCUGAAAAACAGCCUCAAGAAGUUGAAGACAGUAGCAAUCCUUACAGAAACUUGUAAGUCCAAGGUAGAGGUAGAUGACUCAGAGGCAUUUUAUUUCACUUUAAGAAAAACCCAAGCUAGCAAAUAAUAAUGAUGAGAAUUUACUCCUAGGUAAAAAAAAAUAACUUGCAAUUUCAAAGUACUAUGUAGUAUAUCCCAGAUAUAAACCACCUCCAAUUCCCUUGUUUCAGUCAUUUUGGUGACAAUAUAGUUCUAUGUGAGCCUGUUUAGAAAACAAAAUAUAUAUUUGGUAAAUGAAAAGAUGGUUGGAAUUUUAGGAGCAGUGGUAUUCAUUCACAUAGAACACAGAGAGUGCAGAAAAUUAAACUUGUCACAUACCAUGAUCACAGUCAAAACUAGAAAGAUGAUAUCAGAAGGUCUUUUCAGCUCCCAGUUGUAUCCAAAAGUGACUGUUAAUUUUAGAUUAGUUCCCCUUAUUUCUAGUUUUAGAUUCUCCCCUCCCUCUUUGUUAGGCCCAGGAGAAGGUUUUCAAUAGGAGACAGUUAUGGACAGUGUUGUGAAAGUGAGUGUUCCAAAAAGGGAUUUGGGGGAAAGAGUGUUCCCAGAACACACAAAAGCUAUUACAGCAUGACAGCUAGCUGACCUACCACUAAGAUCUGCCAAAAGUUAUUUGUGUCAUGGAGAUCCUGGUCAGAAAUCUGGACUGGACUUGCCCAGUUCUUGCCUUAGCUGGGCCAUUGCCAAAAGCUUUAUUGUUUGGACCAUGCACACUCAUUCUCUUAGUCAGAUUUGUUUCUUCCUGUUUGACAGCUUUGAAGCUAAAAAUGGUGGUGCAGUCAGACCCAUUGAUAGAUGUUCCUCUUGGUUCCUACUCAGGGCUCUUAGAUAGACCCCAUGGUGGAGGACCUUGAUUGUAGCCCUGCCAUGGCCCCUCUCAGCUAGAAGCAGCCAAAUUGACUGAUGGCCCCUUAUCCCUACGGUAGUUAAGGACACCGCUGUUGAAGGGGAUCGAGACAAGGAGAUGAACAAACAUUAGCCAGCUAGGAUAGGGACCUGAGUAACCUAACAACAAAGUGCAUAUAUACCCUUGAACUUGGGUGCUCCUUGGUAUCCUCCCCUGGAGGCCCUCUCGGUUAAUGUGAGUUCUUCUUUGGUCUUUAAUAAAAUAUACAUGGUUCAUUCCCC
ensembl:lncRNA